rnacentral:lncRNA from 1 species
AUGAUUUUCCAUUUGUGUGAUCUUGUCUUCCAGGAGUCUGAUGAUGACUCUUACAAUUUGAGGAAACCUAAAGGAACGAAACUGACUGUUGCUGAGGGUGAUUCGGCAUGCUACAAUAGGGCACAUUUGGGAGAGACGCUAUACCAGGAGUCUCCCGGAUUUGAGCUAUCCGAUCCAAAUAUGCACCUGAUUGAUGGCACCUACAACUGCCUCCAUGAUGUCCAUUUAAGGACAUUUUUCAAAAAGCCAGAAAGAAAAAAAAAGCUUCUACAGAAUGGCUUAAUUACUACUGAUGAGAAGGUUAGUGACUGUAAAGACUGUCCAUUGGUACUCAAAUGAAAUAUAAUGGUAAAUGUUGGUUGAAAAGAUGUCUUUAGACGAUUGGUUAAAAAUGUAAAGAAUACAUUAAUGUUGACUUGUUUGCUAGGGUGCUGCUAUGGUAGUUGAAAUGCUUGUUAUGGUGGUUGCUAGAAGUUUUCCAUAACACUCAUAAUGAGAACUAGGAUACUAUGGUAACUGGUUACCAUGGUAACCGGUUACUAUAGUAAUUGCCGUGGCGAUUGCCAAGGCAUUGUUAUACUAGUCAAGCUGGUUGCUAAGGUUUUGCUAUCAUAUCAUAUAUGACAUCAUAGUUUAGGUGGUUGCCAAGGUGUUGCUAUGGUAGUGUAGGUGGUUGCUUGGGUUUUGCUUUUAAUAGUCAAGCUGGGAACUAGAGUGUUGAUAUGGUUGUUUAGGUAAUUGACAGUGUUUUGUUUUGGUAGAGGUAGUUGAUAGAUUGGUGAUAUGGUACUUGUGAUGGUUAGGUGUUGGGAUGGUAGUUGGUGUGGUUGCUAGGGCAUUGCUAUAGUAGUCAAGCUGGUUAACAGCGUGUUACUAAGGAAGCGUAGUUGAUUUCUGUGGUGGUUGUAAUGGUGUUGCUAUGGCAGUUUAGAUUGUUGCUAGGGUGUUGCUAUGGUAAUUGAGGUGGUUGCUGCUGUUGUUGUUAGGUUGUUGCUAUGGUACUUAUGAUUGUUGCAAAAUGUUUCUAUGACCGUUCCUGUGGUUUCUGUGGUAGCUGCUUGGUUAUUACAAUGGUAGUCAAGUUGGUUGCUUAGGUAUUGAUACUGUAUAAAAUCAUAAUUUUGUCUAUGUAGAAAGGCAGAUAAUCAGUUAUAAUAUAAAUAGACUGUCGAAUAUCUAUCCUUUGCUGACAUUUUGUUGAGACUUUUUAUGGCACUUUUUCAGGUGCUGUGUACACCUAAAGAAUACAAUAAAUACACCAGGUACACCA